rnacentral:lncRNA from 1 species
GUGACUGGAGCCCUUCAGAUGGACUCUGGAUUCUUCACAUGGGUUUUCCUGAUUCACCUCCAGAGCUGCCAAGCAGGGAUGAAGCAGGACUGGAGAUACGAGCAAGGACACCUCUCCAGCGCCCAUCUCCUCUACUUCUGGGCUGCUGCGUUUGGACCGUGGGCUGUCUGAGCUGAUGGACAGGUGCCGGCACACACUGAGUGUCUUGAAUCGGUGGCAUUGCACUGAGAGUUCUCAGAAGAUCACCGCCCCUGUCCUUGAGAUGGCUCAAGCAAACCCAUAAGCCCUUCAUGGCCCAACAGGUUUUAGAGCCCAGCUGCACCCAGGCCUGGGGACCUACCUAAUACUGCUAGAACCGCCACUCCAAACCUCUGGCCGAUUUCUGGGCACUUCCCUUUCCAUCCUCGCGCUUGGUUCUUGGAUGAAGCCACCAUAUUGUCCCCUGGGACCAUCCUCUGGUUUCCCUAGAGGAUGCUCUGUGUGUACAGAAACGCCUUCCCUAGAGACACGGGCAGAGCAGCACCCACAGAGGGACCAGAAGCCCACACAGAAAGAAGACCGUCUCCGUAUGAAGCGCCUAGGCUUUGGGCCUCCAGAAUAUGAAGCAAAGGAUCCGUCCUGUGUAGUAGCCUGCUUCCGGUGUUUCGUGAUAGUCAUGGAGGCUGCUUUUCCCACCAGACCCCCAGCCAAGACGGAGCAAGAGGAAAAACAGACCCACAGAGGAAGGAGGACGGGAGCCGAGAGCAGGGACAAGGGGCGGAGGGCUUCUGGGCCAGGCGGGGAGGAGGGUGCUUAUUUAUGGGGCGCCUGCUCCCAGGGUCGAUUGGACCACGACAUCCACCAACUGCAAAGAAACAUCUUGUGUUAGGGGCUGGGGCUGGGGCUCAGCGACAGAGCACUCGUGUAGCACGUGCGAGGCCCUGGGUUCGAUCCUCAGCACCACAUAAAAAUAAAUAAAUAAAAUAAAGGUAUUGUGCCCACCUACAACUAAAAAAAAUAUUUAAAAAAAAGGAGCCUCUUGUGCUAGUCUGCCUGGCCCCUGGGGAGGGCACCACUGUCAGGCCUCCCUGGAGGUGUGUUCGGCUCCCCCCAACCUGCGGAGGUGACCUGUGGACAUGUACCUCAGCUUCCUUGAGGGUGACGUGUGCAGGAACAAAGCCAAUACCUGUGCCGCUUGAGUGCUGCUCUUGUAGUCUGGAAGCAGCGUUUUCCAGGGCAGCGUCUGCAUGGUGCAAGUUGCAGGCGAGGGAGUCAGUUUGCUUUGGGAUCAAUAGGUGUGGCCUCCACGGGCAGGGAACUCAGGGCUUCCUUUUGAAUUCCAGAGGACACAGGACAGCUCCAUCUCUAAAGGCCCAGCCCAAUGGAACAUGGCAGCUGGGCAGGGGUUUUGCUUCUAGGCUGACUGUUUUUGCUCCAGGAAUAAUAAAGACCUUCUCGAUGCGAAACAGCUCAGUGUUAAUCUUGCAGAAAUAUGGGGGAUCUGAAUUGUGGUUCCAGCUGCCUCGGCUGCUUCCUCUGCUGGUCAAUUCCUGGUCACCGUAUGAAGUCCAGAAGGGCCACUCUUAAGGUCUGGACCAGGAAUGUCCCCCCAAAAGCUCAGGGGUGG